rnacentral:pre_miRNA from 1 species
CGGUCGGUCCGUCGUCCGGUCAGACGGUCAGUCAGUACGACAGUCAGUCAAUCGGUCGGUCGGUCAUCAGUCAUCAGUC